rnacentral:rRNA from 1 species
UACGUAGGGUGCGAGCGUUAAUCGGAAUUACUGGGCGUAAAGCGUGCGCAGACGGCUUUGCAAGACAGAGGUGAAAUCCCCGGGCUCAACCUGGGAACUGCCUUUGUGACUGCAAGGCUAGAGUACGGCAGAGGGGGAUGGAAUUCCGCGUGUAGCAGUGAAAUGCGUAGAUAUGCGGAGGAACACCGAUGGCGAAGGCAAUCCCCUGGGCCUGUACUGACGCUCAUGCACGAAAGCGUGGGGAGCAAACAGGAUUAGAUACCCUGGUAGUCAAGGGCG